rnacentral:rRNA from 1 species
GAUGAACGCUAGCGGCAGGCUUAAUACAUGCAAGUCGAGGGGCAGCGCAGUGUAGCAAUACAUGGGCGGCGACCGGCAAACGGGUGCGGAACACGUACGCAACCUUCCUUUAAGUGGGGGAUAGCCCAGGGAAACUUGGAUUAAUACCCCGUAAUAUUAUGAAGUGGCAUCACUUUAUACUUAUAGCUCCGGCGCUUAAAGAUGGGCGUGCGACUGAUUAGGUAGUUGGCGGGGUAACGGCCCACCAAGCCUGCGAUCAGUAACUGGUGUGAGAGCACGACCAGUCACACGGGUACUGAGACACGGGCCCGACUCCUACGGGAGGCAGCAGUAAGGAAUAUUGGUCAAUGGACGCAAGUCUGAACCAGCCAUGCCGCGUGGAGGAUGAAGGUCCUCUGGAUUGUAAACUUCUUUUAUUUAGGAAGAAACCCACUGUUUCUAGGGUGGUUGACGGUACCAGAUGAAUAAGCACCGGCUAACUCCGUGCCAGCCGCCGCGGUAA